CGCGUCGCGACUGCAGACGGACCAUUUUGCUAUUAUCGGCGAGUCGACGAGACACUGCAAGACUUCCAUCCGGCCGUAACCGACUAUGUAGUCGCCUAAAUAAGGGAUGCUAUCCCUAUAAUUUUUUCAAGUAGUUUAGUCCGUCUGUUUAGUACAAGAGUAAUAGUUAUUUUUCUUUUAAAUUAUUUCUUUUGAAAUGAUGAAAACGACCGCGCCCAGCCGCGUAUUCGCGGGAUCCAGUUCCUGGCGGGCGACGCAUCGGUAAAUCGAAGCCUACUUCCCUGUCUGACAGGGUCCGAGAGCCGGACGCCGAAUUAGCAUUUUCAUCUCCCUUCUGCAACAGGACAAAAGCGCCCUGGCAUCAUGUUCCCGCGUGAUCUCCGAAACGAAGCCCCGACCUCCGGUGCUUCUGUAUCUUUUGACCCUUUUUUGAACUUUCUUUAAAUUACGCCGUCAAACAAAGUUAAUCAUACAAACAUAAUUUCUGAACUUUAAGUACAUACCUCAACUGGGAUGGUUUGAAUAUAUUUGUAUUUUUUUAUUGGUUUAUGUAUUUUUUAGUAAAUGAAACUUUUGAUAAUUUCAUGUACGGCCGACCCAUUUUUUUUCCUUUCUUUCUGAAUAUACCUGAGAGCUGUUUAAGAAUGUAAUUAAUAUUGUACGUAAAUAUUAUCUUGUAUCUGUUAUAAGUUUCCUCAGUAUGGGGUAAUUAUAUUUCAGACGGAAUCACAUCUUGUUUCUAUUCAUUACUAACAUUGCGAUUCUUAAAGAUCCACCCAGCAAAACAAAAAUGGUAAUCAGACCGUGGUUUGCUGGUUGUAGAAAACAGCUUUCUCCGAAAAGUUCUUCACAAAUUGCUUUGAAAUGUUGACACAAUGUUGCAUUUGUAUACGCAUGUGUUUUUACAUGUAUUUUUUUCAAUAAUUAAAAAUUAAUAAUAAAUGAGUA